rnacentral:rRNA from 1 species
CAGCAGCCGCGGGAAUACGAAGGGGGCUAGCGUUGCUCGGAAUGACUGGGCGUAAAGGGCGCGUAGGCGGCGAUCAAAGUCAGGCGUGAAAUUCCUGGGCUCAACCUGGGGGCUGCGUUUGAUACUUGGUUGCUAGAGUGAGGAAGAGGGUCGUGGAAUUCCCAGUGUAGAGGUGAAAUUCGUAGAUAUUGGGAAGAACACCGGUGGCGAAGGCGGCGACCUGGUCCUUGACUGACGCUGAGGCGCGAAAGCGUGGGGAGCAAACAGAAUUAGAUACCCGGGUAGUCCCUGUCUCUUAUAU